UAGAUGGAUGCUCGCUGGCUUGAGCACUUAGCUGUUAACUAAGAACUUGUAGGAUCGAGGCCUACCCACCUAG
rnacentral:tRNA from 1 species